AGAAGGGGCUAGUUUUCAUGAGAGCUGGUUGCUGAAAGAGAAAAUCACACAGAGCUUGCUCUCUCUGCACACACCUGCCGUCAUCUGUGCUUCCGUCGGCCAUGCUGUAGCCUACACCUUUGGAAUUUUCAGUUACCAGAAUUGAUAAAAGGAUACAAAAGAACAGCCAGGUGAGGAGAGACAAUGGGCAAGACGCUAGGGAAGGAGCACCAGAACGUCCCUGCCACCCUUCAAGUAAUUCAGUAACCUGGAAGCUCUCCAAGACCUGUCCUUUUCGGUUUUUAUGGAAGCCUCAUUAGGGUCUGCCAGAGGGGAAUGAUAAUGAAGGAUGG